GACGAACGCUGGCGGCGUGCUUAACACAUGCAAGUCGAACGGUGAACGAGGGAGCUUGCUCCCUCCGGAUCAGUGGCGAACGGGUGAGUAACACGUGAGCAAUCUGCCCCGAACUCUGGGAUAAGCGUUGGAAACGACGUCUAAUACCGGAUACGACGCGGGAGGGCAUCCUCUCCGCGUGGAAAGAACUUCGGUUCGGGAUGAGCUCGCGGCCUAUCAGCUUGUUGGUGGGGUAACGGCUCACCAAGGCGACGACGGGUAGCCGGCCUGAGAGGGUGACCGGCCACACUGGGACUGAGACACGGCCCAGACUCCUACGGGAGGCAGCAGUGGGGAAUAUUGCACAGUGGGCGCAAGCCUGAUGCAGCAACGCCGCGUGAGGGACGACGGCCUUCGGGUUGUAAACCUCUUUUAGCAGGGAAGAAGCGAAAGUGACGGUACCUGCAGAAAAAGCACCGGCUAACUACGUG
rnacentral:rRNA from 1 species